rfam:Ictidomys tridecemlineatus contig106619, whole genome shotgun sequence.
UGGGUUGUAGCUCAGUGGUAAAGCACUUGUCUCCCAUGUGUGAGGCACUGGGUUCAAUCCUCAGCACCACAU